rnacentral:rRNA from 1 species
UGAGGAAUAUUGGACAAUGGGGGCAACCCUGAUCCAGCCAUGCCGCGUGUGUGAAGAAGGCCUUCGGGUUGUAAAGCACUUUCAGCAGUGAGGAAAGGUGUGCGGUUAAUACCCGUAUGCUGUGACGUUAACUGCAGAAGAAGCACCGGCUAACUCCGUGCCAGCAGCCGCGGUAAU